GUCAGAAUGCUGUAAUGGUUAGAAGGCUGGACUGCAAAUCUGGAGACCAGGGUUCAAAUCUCAGCUCAGCCG